ACUAGAUGAUGAAGAUUGGUUACGUUUGGAUAGUUAGGUAUUUUUAAGUAUUCUGUGAAUAGUAAUAAAAAAAUAAUGAUAGAAUAUUGAAUAGUAGUAAAUAGUAGUGAAAAGUAGAUAAAAAGUAAUAAUAAAAUAAUGAAUAAUAGUUAGAUAUUCUAAG